UGAGAUUGUUGGAGAGGUUCA
rnacentral:miRNA from 1 species